rnacentral:lncRNA from 1 species
CAACCGUCCCGUUUUAUAUUAUUAAACACACUACAUCUACACUUUAAGCUCACAAAUUUGAUCUUUCGUUGUGUUAAAACUUAAAAGUGAUCACCAAUACUUUUGGCCUGUUGUGUUAAAAGCUCAAACCAAAGCUUUUGGCCGGUUGUGUAAGCUACGCAUCCAAAUUAUGUGGUCGUUAGUUUACACCCUAAAGCAAUUAAAUAUACCUAAGAUAAGAUAUAGUAUCAUCUAAACUCAGUCAGCAUCUUAAAGGAGUCAAAGGAUUCACGAGUUCAUCAGAUCCAGUCAAAAAGGACAACAUUUGUAAUUGUCGAGGAAAUCUUUGUCUCUUCUACUAAAGGUUACAUGCACCUACCCACCUACUUUAGGCAAAGGUGCUCCGAAUCGUGUAUCAAAU